UGCUAGCCCCGGUAGUAGCCGCAUCCUUUGUGGUCUCGUUUUUGAAACGAGAUAGCAAAGAUACAGCGGAUGACGGGAUUUUGC
rnacentral:sRNA from 1 species